rnacentral:rRNA from 1 species
CCUACGGGAGGCUGCAGUGGGGAAUAUUGCACAAUGGGGGAAACCCUGAUGCAGCAACGCCGCGUGAGCGAUGAAGGCCUUCGGGUCGUAAAGCUCUGUCCUAAGGGAAGAAUACUGACGGUACCUUAGGAGGAAGCCCCGGCUAACUACGUGCCAGCAGCCGCGGUAAUACGUAGGGGGCUAGCGUUAUCCGGAAUUACUGGGCGUAAAGGGUGCGUAGGCGGCCCUUCAAGUCAGAGGUGAAAGGCUACGGCUCAACCGUAGUAAGCCUUUGAAACUGUAGGGCUUGAGGGGAGGAGAGGGGGGUGGAAUUCCCCGGGGAGCGGUGAAAGGCGUAGAUAUUGGGAGGAACACCAGUUGCGAAGGCGGCUCUUUGGACUGUAACUGACGCUGAGGGACGAAAGCGUGGGGAGCAAACAGGAUUAGAUACCCCAGUAGUC